rnacentral:lncRNA from 1 species
AGACGGAUGCGGAAACCGAGACGGCCUGGAUGGAAAACUCUUUCAAGGAAGACCCCAGGGCCCUGAACGGAAUUCCGGAUAUUUUCUCUAAAACACUUUGAUCCACACAACUAUUCUCUUUCUUGGUCUGAAUUUUGGCAAACGACAAGCAAGGCAUAGAGAUCGCUUCAACUCGCUACCCGCGGCUCGCCCAGACGUUAGGGUUUUAGGCCGCCGUUAGACUUUGGCCCUGCAGGUCAAAAUCAGCUACUCUAGGCCUGUCUUCUCGGAGGCCAGUAGCAGCACCUGGUCCUCUCCGCGCGGCUUCUCCCGCCGGGUACGCAACCCUGCACCUCUUUCCUGUGACCUGCAGCGAAGCUCGGCGGGGGACCGGGUAUUCAACUGGCCAGGAGUUCUCGAGGCGCAGGUGCGGGUGUGCAGGGACGCGCGCGGUGAGUUUGCAGUUCCUGCGGGCUCCAGCAACAUCCCGGGUCAGUCCGAACUCCGAAGGCGCCAAGGCAGGGAGGGACCGGUAGGUGAAGGGCAGCCGCCCUCUUGCGCCCUGUUUCAGUCCUCCAGUCGCUGUUGAAUGGAGUUUCCGUCUCCAGUCUCAGCCAAAGCAGGCAAGGCGGACAACCUCGGCCUGGCAACCAGUACUAAAGCAAUACAAUGGGGAAGAAGUGUCAUUUCAACGAGUAGUGCUGGACCAACUAGAUAUCUACUAGUGAGGAAAAAAAUCUCAAUCCCUACCUCACAACAUACACAAAAGCUAAUUUGAGUUGGAUCACAGAACAAACCAUACAAACUAUGAAGUUUUAGAAGAAAAUGCAUGAAAAUGUCUUUAAGACUUGGCAGAAAGCAAAUAUUUUCUAAAUAUUACA